rnacentral:lncRNA from 1 species
UGGCAAGAAAAUCCAAGGCAAGAAAACUUGUUUUUGUUUUUCAGUAUUGGGCGUUGAACUCGGGGGUGCUUAACCACUGGGCCACAUUCCCAGCUGUCUCUUUAUUUAUUUAUUUUUUAAAAAAUUUUGAGAUAGGGUCUUAUUAAGUUGCUAAGGCUGGCUUGAAAUUUGGGAUCCUCCUGAGCCACUGGGAUUACAGUCUUUCUUUUUGGGGCAGGGGCAGCGUUUAAGACUUAUCCUACCAUCUGUAGGGCCUGGGGCAAGAGUACCAAGGGAGACCCAUGUACUAUGUACCUAAAUAUGUAAAUGUGUUACAUCAUGCUGACAUGUGGUGUGUUCAUGCCCCUUUUUGCCCUAAUGACUCCAUUCAGUGGCAAGGAGCCACGUGGGUACAUGGCUACAGUCAAGCCCCAUGCACAAACCCCAGGCUCCGGGAUGAGUAACUCCUUUUGAAUGACCAUGACCACCUCAUAUUCCCUGAGUUUGUUAGCUUUCUGUUACUACAAAAUCAAGUUGCCAUAAAAAGCUUCCAAAGAGAAAAGGGUUAUUUUCGCUCACAGACUGUGGUCCAUUGGCUGCAUUGCUUAGGGACUGGUUCAAGGCAGCACAUCAAAGACAACUCAUGGUCGAGCAAGCUAGUCAUCUCAUGGCAGCUGGAAAGUAAAAGAGAAGAAGAGAAAGGGGCAGCAUCCUCUGAUCCCCACUCAGGCCUUGUGCAUUUGAGGUAAGUACUCUAUCAAUUGAGCUAUAUCCCCUUAGCUAUAUCCCCUAUAUCCCCUAACCAGGCUUGAGGGUGUUUAUAUCUGGAAUUCUAGGUUCUUUAUACCUACUGUGUUUUAGAAGGUAGAGAGGGAAAGUCUCCUUGGCCCAUCAGAAACUUAACCACCUAGGGUGCAAUAUGGCUACAGGAGGACCAAGUUGGUUGCUCAGGGCAGAAGUCCUUCUUGCCUGGGUAUACGAGGUAUAAUAAAGACAAUUUCUUUCCCUGAGGUUUUAUUUUGUCAUUGAGUUCUCCUGAUUUGACUUAGUUUUCUAGAACACUGGCUUUCAAAGAAUGUGUGGACAAGGCUUCUUACCUGGCUUCCUGUAGUACUAACUGCAUCAGUACUUGGCAGGCCAAGGGGCUCUGAGACAGUUCCUGUUGACCAAACUCAUUCUUAUCAGGUGUAGGACCUCCAGGGAAAGGCCCCAGUCCAGGGGUGUUCUCUGGUCCUAUCCAGUUUUCUUAACCAGAUAAAGCAAAUUGAUUGAUUGAUAAAGGUAGAAUACAGUUUUCAAAACACAUUUAAGAUGGAAGCAUACUAAUUUUCUGAUGGCUUCUAAGGGGAACAGUUUGGCAUAUGUUAUUUGGACGAAAUCUAAGCCACUUUAGGAGUUAAGUUUCGGUAUUUAGAGUGGAGGAGGAAGCAGAUUGAUGCAUUGUCUGGUCUCCUUCCCCAAGGUGACAUUCAGAUUUGUUUUGGAAGAAGUGGAAGGAUGGAGGAUUUGGGGCCUAGUUCAAGAACAUUGUGAGGGUGAUACACUCAGGGGCAUGUCCCACCUGGGGAUUUAACAUACGUGGCUCUACUUUUUACCUUGCUUGUGUAUUGGGAAGCACCUCAAUGUUUGGACUCCUUUCUACCUCUGUGGAAAAAGGGUCAGUUUUUCUGCCUUAAUUUUUUUUUUGUAAACUUUG